GAUGAAGAACGCAGCGAAAUGCGAUAAGUAAUGUGAAUUGCAGAAUUCAGUGAAUCAUCGAAUCUUUGAACGCACAUUGCGCCCCCCAGUAUUCUGGCGGGCAUGCCUGUUCGAGCGUCAUUUCAACCAUCAAGCCCUGCUUGUGUUGGGGUCCUGCGGCCGCCCGCAGGCCCUGAAAACCAGUGGCGGGCUCGCUAGUCACACCGAGCGCAGUAGCACAUCUCGCUCAGGGCGUGCGGCGGGCUCCAGCCGUUAAAGCACCCACCUUUCGCAAGGUUGACCUCGGAUCAGGUAGGAAUACCCGCUGAACUUAAGCAUAUCAAUAAGCGGAGGA
rnacentral:misc_RNA from 1 species